rnacentral:rRNA from 1 species
AAGCGCUUGCAACCAGACUUGCACUUGGUCGAUCAUCCGGGGUUCUCCCCGGUGCACUCGAUCUCGUUCAGGCCAGCAUCAGUUUGCUUCGGGGGAUAAAGGCUUCGGGAAUGUGGCUCCUUCGGGAGUGUUAUAGCCCGUUGUGUAAUACCCUGAGGCAGACUGAGGUUCGCGCUCUGCAAGGAUGCUGGCGUAAUGGUCAUCAGCGA